GUGGCUAUAGCAUAACGGUUAGUGCACCGGGUUGUGGUCCCGGAAACCUGGGUUCGAUUCCCAGUAGCCACCCCA
rnacentral:tRNA from 1 species